GGGCAGGGAGGGGCUGCCUGUAGAGUGGGUUCCACGAAUGUUAAUGACUCUGUUAGAGUUACAUAAAAUUAACAGAAAUUAGAUCUAUGGUUAUUGAAGAGCCUCCUUUAUAUUGAGAGGAGCCAUUUAAGUAUAACGAUUGGGGAUUAUGGUUCAGUGGAGCCUUUUAACUGUUCAUUUGCCUGCCUAACUGACCGCUGGGCGGGAUGCGAUAAAUUCAGGAUAUUGUGAAACGACUCCUGUUUCCCUUUCCUUUGGAUCCCUUUUCCCAGUUCUCUUCAUAACAUCACAGUGAAGACCGACACAGUGAAAAACCAGCAGAUAAAAUCAUCUUGCAAUACGGAAGCAAUCACGCCAACAUUGUGCCAGAUAAUAGCCCUGUUCAAGUCCGCAGCUGGGGUACUUUAUUGACUGGAAACUCCUAGAGCCUAUGCACAAAUAUUGGCAGAUGGAUAUGUAACGAGGAGGCCGUCUGUAGGCUGCUCAGGCUCAGCAACUAGAAGCUGGUAGGAGACCAGGUGGGUGUCACGGGCGUUCUGAGUGUUGUGGUGGAAUCACAACUGGACACCAGGCCUGUCUAAGCCUGACCUGUCCUCCCUUCUCUGCCCUUUGGGAUGCCCAGGGU
rnacentral:lncRNA from 1 species